rnacentral:rRNA from 1 species
GAUGAACGCUAGCGGCAGGCUUAAUACAUGCAAGUCGAGGGGCAGCGCGGGUAGCAAUACCUGGCGGCGACCGGCAAACGGGUGCGGAACACGUACGCAACCUUCCCAUAACUGGUGAAUAGCCCUCCGAAAGGAGGAUUAAUACACCGUAACAUAACGAAGAGGCAUCUUUUUGUUAUUAUAGUAGCAAUACGGUUUUGGAUGGGCGUGCGCCUGAUUAGGUAGUUGGCGGGGUAACGGCCCACCAAGCCUGCGAUCAGUAACUGGUGUGAGAGCACGACCAGUCACACGGGCACUGAGACACGGGCCCGACUCCUACGGGAGGCAGCAGUAAGGAAUAUUGGUCAAUGGACGAAAGUCUGAACCAGCCAUGCCGCGUGAAGGAUUAAGGCCCUCUGGGUUGUAAACUUCUUUUAUCUGGGACGAAAAAAGGGCAUUCUUGCUCACUUGACGGUACCAGAGGAAUAAGCACCGGCUAACUCCGUGCCAGCCGCCGCGGUAAUAC